AGAAAAUUGAACAUUAAUUUAUGAUAUCACAUACAUAAAAUCUAUCUAUAUAUAUAAAACAUGUAGGUUUUCCUUAGUAUUGCUAUAUAGGCUUUCAAAUCUAUUAUACUUAUGCGAAGUGAUAAUUUUAAAUUGCAUUUACUGAUGAUAAUUUUUCUUUUAAAAGAGCUACGUUUAUUUUAAAGGAAAAUCAAAACCGUUUAGUGAAUUAAAGGAAAAUCAAAACCGUUUAGUGAAAUAUUUUUAACUACAUUUACUGCAAUUAAAUGUAAUACUUAAUUGUUGAUGAUUUGCCAACCCAAGACAUUUAAUUUCAAAAUUCAACGAAUAUUAUCAUGACUCUCCAAUAAUUACCAUAACUGAAAGUUUUUUUUUUAAUAUAUUUUUUUUAUCCCAUAUGUAAUUG
rnacentral:misc_RNA from 1 species